AUUGAACGCUGGCGGCAUGCCUUACACAUGCAAGUCGAACGGCAACAGGUCUUCGGAUGCUGACGAGUGGCGAACGGGUGAGUAAUACAUCGGAACGUGCCUAGUAGUGGGGGAUAACUACUCGAAAGAGUGGCUAAUACCGCAUGAGAUCUACGGAUGAAAGCAGGGGGUCGCAAGACCUUGUGCUACUAGAGCGGCCGAUGGCAGAUUAGGUAGUUGGUGGGAUAAAAGCUUACCAAGCCGACGAUCUGUAGCUGGUCUGAGAGGACGAUCAGCCACACUGGGACUGAGACACGGCCCAGACUCCUACGGGAGGCAGCAGUGGGGAAUUUUGGACAAUGGGCGCAAGCCUGAUCCAGCAAUGCCGCGUGCAGGAUGAAGGCCUUCGGGUUGUAAACUGCUUUUGUACGGAACGAAAAGCCCUGGGUUAAUACCCUGGGGUCAUGACGGUACCGUAAGAAUAAGCACCGGCUAACUACGUGCCAGCAGCCGCCGUAA
rnacentral:rRNA from 1 species